rnacentral:rRNA from 1 species
AUUCCAGCUCCAAUAGCGUAUAUUAAAGUUGUUGCAGUUAAAAAGCUCGUAGUCGGAUUUCUGGUUCUGGGGGGUGGUCCGCCGAAAGGUGUGCACUGCUCGCCGGAGCCUUUUCUCUCGACGUCUGCGUGUGCUCUUAACUGAGUGUGCGUGUGGCUCGAGACCUUUACUUUGAAAAAAUUAGAGUGUUCAAAGCAGGCCUUCGCUUGAAUACAUUAGCAUGGAAUAAUGGAAUAGGACUUUGGCUCUAUUUUGUUGGUUCUAGGACCGAAGUAAUGAUUAAUAGGGAUGGUUGGGGGCAUUAGUAUUUAAUUGUCAGAGGUGAAAUUCUUAGAUUUAUGAAAGACUAACUACUGCGAAAGCAUUUGCCAAGGAUGUUUUCAUUA